rnacentral:rRNA from 1 species
UACGUAGGGGGCAAGCGUUGUCCGGAUUUAUUGGGCGUAAAGAGCGUGUAGGCGGCCAUACAGGUCCGUUGUGAAAACUGGAGGCUUAACCUCCAGACGUCGAUGGAAACCGUAUGGCUAGAGUCCGGAAGAGGAGAGUGGAAUUCCUGGUGUAGCGGUGAAAUGCGCAGAUAUCAGGAAGAACACCCGUGGCGAAGGCGGCUCUCUGGGACGGUACUGACGCUGAUGCGCGAAAGCGUGGGGAGCAAACGGG